rnacentral:rRNA from 1 species
UACGUAGGGUGCGAGCGUUAAUCGGAAUUACUGGGCGUAAAGCGUGCGCAGGCGGCUUUGCAAGACAGAUGUGAAAUCCCCGGGCUCAUCCUGGGAACUGCAUUUGUGACUGCAAGGCUAGAGUACGGCAGAGGGGGAUGGAAUUCCGCGUGUAGCAGUGAAAUGCGUAGAUAUGCGGAGGAACACCAAUGGCGAAGGCAAUCCCCUGGGCCUGUACUGACGCUCAUGCACGAAAGCGUGGGGAGCAAACAGG